CCUAAAAAUAAACUAGCCAUUUUCGGUCAGCAAUGAAAUAAGUUUCAUUGCCUGCCUAACAUUAUCGUUAUAGAACAGAUCAUGGUCCAUCUAAGUUUCGUGGUGUAUCUAUUGGGAUGUUUACAGAACAGAUUUGAUAUGAGUUCAUAUGGUUGAUGAAGAUUUUUUUUCUUUUAUGUUUUUCACUAAACAUGACAAGGAUUUAUAUGGACUUCCAGUGGACAGCUGCUAUUAAGUGCACAAUUGCUUUGAAACACAAAGGAAUCGGAAAUUCAGCAUGCCACAUGCGCUAUUCUCACUAAUCCGUGGAUGUUUAUCUUGGUAGCAUAUAUGCAUUUGCAGAGUUUGGUGCAAAAAUAUAAGUACAUGUGCCAUACAUAAAAUAAAGAUCUUCUGUCUUGCUAUUCUGAAGUGUGAUAUCUUCUAUUCUGAUGAGUUUGUCCAAUUGCAUGCUUAUAGUAGUUUUUCUUCAUCCAGCAUUUCUUAUGUUCUGUUUAAUUUGUUAUAAUGGGAAAUGAUUCCCUUCCAUCGGUUGAUUCUGUGUGAACGUCCACCGUCUCUAAGUCUAUUGGAUGACUUUUAAUCAACGGUACAGAGUUAACCUUUUUGUGCUCACAUUUUGGAACCGGUCGAACAUUUCGCAGUGGCUGGGACCAGGGUGGAC
rnacentral:lncRNA from 1 species